rnacentral:rRNA from 1 species
GAUGAACGCUGGCGGCGUGCCUAAUACAUGCAAGUCGAGCGAACAGACGAGGAGCUUGCUCCUCUGACGUUAGCGGCGGACGGGUGAGUAACACGUGGAUAACCUACCUAUAAGACUGGGAUAACUUCGGGAAACCGGGGCUAAUACCGGAUAAUAUAUUGAACCGCAUGGUUCAAUAGUGAAAGACGGUUUUGCUGUCACUUAUAGAUGGAUCCGCGCCGCAUUAGCUAGUUGGUAAGGUAACGGCUUACCAAGGCAACGAUGCGUAGCCGACCUGAGAGGGUGAUCGGCCACACUGGAACUGAGACACGGUCCAGACUCCUACGGGAGGCAGCAGUAGGGAAUCUUCCGCAAUGGGCGAAAGCCUGACGGAGCAACGCCGCGUGAGUGAUGAAGGUCUUCGGAUCGUAAAACUCUGUUAUUAGGGAAGAACAAAUGUGUAAGUAACUAUGCACGUCUUGACGGUACCUAAUCAGAGAGCCACGGCUAACUACGUG